rnacentral:lncRNA from 1 species
UGGGUGAUUAUUAAAAUUAAUGAGUUAAAUCUAUUAUCUUUUGACCUGGAAUAAUGUCCACAAAAGUGAGAGAAGCAUGCUGCAUAAAAACAUAAAAACAAAGCAAAGAAUCCUUUAUAUUUCAUAAAUGAUUGUAGAGGUUUGUAUUAGAAUGAUAAAAGGUAUAGAAAUAUACACAGCAGAAUGUUAAAUUGGUUGGUGGGCAUGAAGAGGAGGUAGAGACGGUAAGGAGAUAUAGAGUUUUUUAAAAUAUGAAAAAAAAACGAAGCUUAACUUUCUUGGUCAAUAAAAGUGAAGAAACUUAAUUAAUUAAUUAAUUUUUUUUUUUGAGACGGAGUCUCGCUCGGUCGCCCAGGCGGGAGUGCAGUGGCGCCAUCUCGGCUCAGUGCAAGCUCCGCCCCCCGGGUUCCCGCCAUUCUCCCGCCUCAGCCUCCCGAGUAGCUGGGACUACAGGCGCCCGCCAUCACGCCCGGCUGCUUUUUUUGUUUUAGUAGAGAGGAGGUUUCACCGUGUUAGCCAGGAUGGUCUCAAUCUCCUGACCUCGUGAUCCGCCCGCCUCGGCCUCUCAAAGUGCUGGGAUUACACGCGUGAGCCACCGCGCCUGGCCUGAAGAAAGAAGUCAUUAAAGAAGCAACCCAUGGCAAAACUAGUUAUUUUCUUAAAACAGUAGGAAGAAGAAAAGCUUUUUGAAUGAAUCACUUCUCAUCUUCUCCGAAGUUGGAAGCAUCAAGAAUCUAAAUAAGCAUUUAUGAUGGCUGGCAUGAAUAUUUCUCUCCUUCAUCGUGCCUAUUUUAUGAACUUGAACAAGGAAGUUGCCACAACAUCUGUGGGCCAGAGAACUAUGCCAGAAUGUUAUUUCCAGAUUGCUUCCUGUAUUUACAAAGGUCUAUAGGUCCACUGAUACGGCUUUGCUACUCUACCCCGACACCCUGAGGACUAAUCUAUUAAUAGUAUGUACUUCUUAUAAUGAUGAGUGAGGCACAAAAGAGGAAGCAGAAACGCGGAAGAUAGAAUGGGAGUCCUAGUUGACCUUCAUAUAAUUUUUAGAAGAUGGAGCACUUCAACUUCUUCCACUCAUGAAAAGAGAGGUGACAGGUGAAGACAGAACAAGAAAACAAACCAAGAAUUUCCCCUCACCAGCCACCAGCUCUGCCAGCAACUUGAUCUUAGACUUCCCAGCCUCCGUAACGCCUCUGCUUAUAAUCUGUCAUGGAUUGGAAAACUAGAAAAAACAGUUUACAGAGUAUAACAAACUUUGGAGGAGUUAAUCGACUCUAAGUAAAAGAGUAUCUAGCACGGCUGUGGAACAAAGGAGAGACUCACAAACUGUUGAAAGAAUAAAUGAAUGAAUGAAUUCUGUUCAUGAGCUUUAAUAAAACAGCUCUGAGUAGUAACAGUGGAUCAAAUUUAGGCUUCUUGAUGCAGGCAUGGUGUAGAUUACUACUUCUGUAUUGUCCCAGGAGCUCAGCACAUUCCUGCAGAGAUGAUAGGAGCUCAUCUGAUACUUGUCAGCUUUGAAUAAACUCCAGUCCCCAAGAGAGAGAAUGAGAAUCACCGGAAUACGAAACUUCCCUGUUGGACUUCCCAACAUUCUUGAAUGCACCAAGAUAGCCUCUUGCUGUGAGAUUAAUAAAUGAAUAAAUGCCUCCAUAUUUUUCAAAUCUGUGAAGUUAACAACAUGUAGAUUUUUUUGCAUAUUUAAAAACUGCAACUAAAUCUUAAUGCCUCUGAAGCAGAUGGAAGAAAAUAAUAGGCUUCCAUUAACUGUGUCAAAUUGUAUAGGUCUUGGCCAUCACUGGUCCUGUUGUGAUGAAGGUUUUUUGCCCUUGGAUAUAAUUUAAUUUUCAAUUCUUCUAAUUAUGGUACUUCAGAACAUCAAUAUUUGAGAUGAACUUCUCUAGUGUCAAGGACUGAUUUGAGUUGUGUAAACCCUGAAUAUCUGAGACAGGUCUCGAUUAUUUUAGAAAGUUUAUUUUGCCAAGGUUGAGGAUGUGUGCCUGUGACACGGCCUCGGGAGGUCCUGAGGACAUGUGCUCAAGGUGGUCAGAGCACAGCUUUGCUUUAUACAUUUUAGAGAGACAUGAGACAUCAACCGACAUAUGUAAGAUGAACAUUGGUUCCAUCUGGAAAGGCGAGACAACUUCAAACGAGGAGGGGGCUUCCAGGUCAUAGGUAGAUAAGAGACAAAUGGCUGCAUUCUUUUGAGUUUCUGAUUAGCCUUUCCAAAGGAGGCAAUUAGAGUGAGCAAAAUGAACAAAAUCAAUUAUUUUGAUUCUGAACAAAAUGGGAGGCUGGUUUUCCCUAAGCAGUUCCCAGCUUGACUUUUCCCUUUAGCUGAGGGAUUUGGGGGGCCCAAGAUUUAUUUUUCUUUCACCGUUGUAUCAAACUACACAGGCGGCCUUGGAAACCAUCACAGUUGAGAGUAGGUAACGCCCAUUUGUUGCAUAGUUUUGUGCUCCACACUCUUAUCUACAAAAUUAUGAAUUUUUUUACAUAUAUUAAUUUCAGAAAAACUAAAAAUAAAACAAAGUAGUUUCAAACUAGUAUUGUUUUUAUAUCUUAAAAAUAAAGCUUUAUAUACUCUCCUU